UUGGGAACAGCACGGCCGCAAAUCUGACUUGCCGUCUCUAGACGGCUUGGGAUUGCGGAAGUGU
rfam:Haloquadratum walsbyi DSM 16790 complete genome